rnacentral:rRNA from 1 species
GAUGAACGCUGGCGGCGUGCCUAAUACAUGCAAGUAGAACGCUGAAGGAAGGAGCUUGCUCUUUCCGGAUGAGUUGCGAACGGGUGAGUAACGCGUAGGUAACCUGCCUGGUAGCGGGGGAUAACUAUUGGAAACGAUAGCUAAUACCGCAUAACAGUAGAUGUUGCAUGAUAUCUACUUAAAAGGUGCAAUUGCACCACUACCAGAUGGACCUGCGUUGUAUUAGCUAGUUGGUGAGGUAACGGCUCACCAAGGCGACGAUACAUAGCCGACCUGAGAGGGUGAUCGGCCACACUGGGACUGAGACACGGCCCAGACUCCUACGGGAGGCAGCAGUAGGGAAUCUUCGGCAAUGGACGGAAGUCUGACCGAGCAACGCCGCGGGAGUGAAGAAGGUUGUCGGAUCGUAAAGCUCUGUUGUAAGAGAAGAACGAGUGUGAGAGUGGAAAGUUCACACUGUGACGGUAGCUUACCAGAAAGGGACGGCUAACUACGUG